GCGAGUGUAGUUCAAUGGUAGAACACCACCUUGCCAAGGUGGAUACGGCGGUUCGAUCCCGCUCACUCGCU
rnacentral:tRNA from 2 species